GAUAAUUAAGUAAUAUUUUUUUUUUAAAGUAAUUUCAAGGGAUUAAAUUAGAUUUCGAAUUAAUAAAAUAUACCCUAAUUUGAUUAGAAUUACCAAAUCCUAAUUAACCCAAAUAUUCCCAAAUUAAACCCUAAGCUUCCUAAUACUAACAGCACCGCCACCACCAUCCCAAAACCCUCAACCACUCACCCCUUUCACCAAAACAAAACAAAAAAAAAAAAAAGAGAAAAAGAAAGAAGAGGGAGAACAGAGAAGGGACAGAGAGGAGAGGGGGAAACUGAGAAGAAAAAGUGGGAAGAGAGUAAGAACGCGCUGGCGCGCGGAGGGUCUUGCUGCCGCCGUCGCCGCUAGUCCAGCCGCAUGCGAGAGAGAGAAGGUUCGCAGAUGAAAGGCGCAACGGGACGGAAGAGGACCCACGCCCUAUCGUCACCGUUCACGAGGGCCACGAGCCGCGUCGUUGUCGCUGAGGAAGGAAGGAGCACGAGCUUCCGUCACCAUCGUCGCCGGCGAUGCCGCGAAGAGGAGAGAGAGAGAGAUCGGGCAGAGGGAGAACGAUUCGCGCCGCCAGCUGCGUCCGCGGGAGGAAUCGCCGCCGUUCGUGUCUCCUGUCGCUGUCAGCUUCGCGCCGAGCUCCCAUGGCUGUCGCCGCUGAAGCCUUCACCGUCCUUGCCGCUGGAGCUGGUCACCGGAAGAGAGGAGGUGACGGUGGUGGGAGUUGCCGUUACUGUUCUAUCUCUGCUCAUUGAAGGAUGCUGAAAAAUGCUAUUGCAGUUGCAGAAGGACGCUCUUACCAUUCCAAACCCCAUCUGGUUCUAAUUUUAGUACUGACCCGAUUUGUUUAGGCUGGUUUCGGUUCUUCUGAGUGCUGGAAUUGCCGCCGCUGUUCCGUUUCCAUGGGUCCCCUAAUUACAAGUUGCUGUGCUUGCCGGGAGUUGUCACUGAAGCUGUUGGGCCCGCCGGGGUUGCACCCAGGUUGCUGCUGCGUCGCCGGAGACCACAGCUAAAGCCUCUGUCUUCUUGGGUUUCUAUUUUCGUGAGUUACUUAGUUAUAUGUCGUCGCCGAAACCAGGCCAGAUUUACUGGUAACUGUUUCUUCCUUUCUUGAAUUUGUUCUGCUUCUAUUUUGUUCCAGUAUUCUUAUUAUUGUUGGUGUCUCUGCUGCCUUAAUCGCUCGGAGUGAUGUUACUG